CCAAGAACAGAUCCCUGAGGCACACCACUGGUCACCGACCUCCAUGCAGAAUAUGACCUGUAUACAACCACUCUUUGCCUUCUGCGGGUAACUUACCUCACCUCGACCUAUUAUCGCCGAAGCCUGAAUGAGCCAAAGCUCUACCGUGCUGCCUUAAGUUACUCCGUUGAUGACCACUCCGCUAGGCAGUGUCUCCCUUUUAUGCCUGAACCUUCCCUGCUAUUUAACUCAUGACUGGUGCUCCAGUUAUAGCCACUGAUUGGGUAUUAACGACGGACUAAUGCUCUUGAAGCUCCCAUUUUAAGUAACCGCUGCCGACCUGUGAGAAAUACCUCUUGGUAAAGUUCUGUUGACUGACUGGCCACGUACUUUGAGCACAAUCCUUUGUAUUCCACUUCUUCUCAAGUACCAGGUUGUCAAUUGCCAAGAAUCUUGGGGAGAAUAAAAAUAGUCUAAGGUAGGAUUAGUGUAAAUAAGGCUUUUUAUGGUUGAAUUAGACUUGGUUGGCCUAAGGGCCUGUUUCCAUGCUAUACCACUUCAUGUCCAUUGACAGGACUUUGCCGGAGUCGACUGGGCUGAGAAUGUCUUUCCUGCAUAUGAAUUGAUUCAAUGCCAGAUAGUUUGUCCAGUUUUAUUCUUUCUCUGCUUUGAGGUUUGCUCUAUUUGAUUGGUGAACUAUUUUCAGAAGGUCUCUUUGUGAUUUCAAAUCAGGAAAACAUGGUAAAUUUCCUUCAUCUGGUAAUUUUAGAGGUUUGUGACGCAUGGUCAUCAAAAUUAAUGACAUAUUUUGUUUUAAAAGCAAAACCUGAUUAUCAGAUGAAUUAAAAUUCCAUGACUGCCCUGUGUGUAAUGUUAGCUUACAUCUCUAGAUUAAUGGUCAGACCUUGGAGUUACUGGUUCAAUAAAUUAAAAUGUCAGAAAUAUCAUUGCUUAUACACAAAGUAACUGUGAAGAAACCUAGGCAGCCAACCUCAUUUUAUGCAGUAACAUUUCCUUUUCUUACCACAGUGCUAGCCGAGAGAGUUUGCUCCGUGUUGGUGUAUUUCCUACACUUAAUGGCCACUUUAUUAGGUACAGGAGUGGAACCCAGUGUGGCUUUCAACUUUGUAGCCUAUCCACUUCAAGCUUUGACUUUGUGCAUUCAAAGAUGCUCGUCUGCACACCACUGUAGUGACGCGUGAGUAUUUGAGUUACUGUCGCCUUCCUGUCAACUUGAAUCAAUCACGCCAUUCUCCUCUGAUCUCUCUCAUUAGCAAGACAGUUUCAUUCACAAAAUUGCUGCUAACUGGAUGUUUUCAGUUUUCCGCUCCAUUCUCUGUAAACUCUUGUGAAUACUAGAGAUUGUUGUGUGUGAAAAUCCCAGGAGAUCUGCAGUUUCUGAGAUACUCAAACCACCCUGUCUGGCACCAACAAUCAUUCCACAGUCAAAGUCACUUAGAUCACACUUCUUCCCCAUUCUGAUGUUUGGUCUGAAUCAAAAAUGAACUUCUUGACUCUGCCUGCAUUGAGUUGAUCUUUUAUGCAUGGCUGCUAUAUAUUUGGUUGAUUAGAUAAGUGCAUUAACAAACAGGUAUACAGGUGUACCUAAUAAAGUGGCCACUGAGUGUAUAUUAUAAUUGUGAGAGCACAGUAAGUUCUUAAUUGGCUAAAAAGCAUUUUGCAAUUUUCUGGAAAAACGGUAUUAAAAUGAUGCUAUCUUUGCUAUAAUACUUUAGGUUAGGAUUGGACAUUAUGCACAUGUUACAUAUAUAUAUUAAUUACUGUAAUUAAUUGAUUGAUUUUCUAUAUUAUCAUGUAUUGCAUUGUACUGCUGCCCCUAAGUUAACAAUUCUCCUGAUGUAUAGCGGUGAUAAUAAACCUGACUCUGAUUUUGAUUCUGUUCAUAAUGCAUCUAUUUGAAACAGAAUUUGAGGAAAAAUUAUAAUAUGCAGUGCUUUCGAUAUCCCGUGUCACCUAGAACCUGCCAAUUUAACCUUAGCUGAAUAAGAAGACAAUUUAAAACAACCAAUGCACAUGGGAAAGAACAUAGAAACCUACUUACGAUGGUUCCCAGAAUUGAAUUCUGAUGUCCAAUGCUCUUAAGUGUAAUAGCAUCACAGUAACUCUAAGCCACCAUGGUGCCAAUGAUCCUUCUCAUCUGUCCAACAAUUUCUUUUUUCCCCUCCCAUCAGCAGGAGGUACCAUAGCAUUCAGACAAGCACUGUUAGGGUGGGCAACAGCUUCGUCUCCCGGGCCAAGACUACUAAACUCCCUGCCACCUCCCAGGUCUGAUUACGUAUGAAGCACCAGUGGCAUUAUACUGUUUACAUUUUAACCUGUGUAAUAAAUGUACCUCGUUAUUUGUUAAUUUUAUUUUUGGUAAUUUUACUUAUGUUGUGUGUGUGUGUGUGAGUUAUGUGUACUUUGUUGUUCUCCUUGGUCUGGUGCAACUUUGUUUCAUUUGGCGGUAUAAGUGUGUACGGUUGAAUAACAAUAAACAAUUGGGAGCAUCCUGACUGGCUACAUCACUGCCUGGUGUGGGAACUGUACUUCCCUCAAUCGCAGGGCUCUGCGGAGAGUAGUGAGGACAGCCCAGCAUAUCUGUGGACGUGAACUUCCCACUAUUCAGGAUAUUUACAAAGACAGGUGUGUAAAAAGGGCCUGAAGAAUCAUUGGGGACCCAAGUCACCCCAGCCGCAAACUGUUCCAGCUGCUACCAUCCAGGAAACUGUAUCGCAGCAUAAAUGCCAGGAGCACCAGGCUCCGGCACAGCUCCUUCCACCAGGCCAUCAAACUGAUUAAUUCAUGCUGACACAUUUGUAUUUCCCUGUUAUAUUGACUGUCCUGUUGUACCUACUAUUUAUUAUAAAUUACUAUAAAUUGCACAUUGCACACUUAGACAGAGAUGUAAAGAUUUUUACUCCUGUAUCCAGAGAUACCGGCCACGUGACAGAUGCACUGCCACCUGGCUGGUCGGAGGACACACCACAUGCCAAUCAACAUUUGGUCCCUCCCAACUAAUCAAUGCACACGUAAAUUAUUGGUCACCUUAAUUGGAUUAUCUCGCCCAGCCCCAUGCUUUAAAAGGUGAGACUUGGCCUUGGCUCAACCUCUCUUGCAGACCACCAUAUUGGAGGUAAGUGCAUUGAUUUAUGCUUGGGAAGGUCUAUUGUUCGUCCUGGUAAGGGAGCCGCAGCUAUCCAAGGUCAAGGGGGAUAGCUGUUGUAGUGCUUUUCCCUUGUUCUUUGUUUGUGUAACCGUACUCUGUCCCCACACCGCUUCCUGUGUAUUGUUGCUUGUGUUGACCUGACUUCCCCUUGUAAAUAAAUUCCUUAUACCAUCACAACAACUCCUCAUAUACAUGAAUGAUAUAAGUAAUAAACUGAAUUUGAACUUGAAUAUGCAAUUUUAUUAUACUUGUCUCUGUUAUAGAUUGCCAAAGAUGGAAGUAAAAAACAAUAUAAGAGAGCCGUUAGGGACAAAGGCAGACAGUAUAUUGUUAACAAGGAACCAUUGAUAUAAACAAGAGCCAGGUGCAAAGGACUUCCACUGAGUGCUUUGUUCUUGCAAGCAAUGAUUGGCUUUGAAACCACUAUGUUCAACUGUGUAAAAUAAUAAAUGUUGUCUAUUAUUACUGCAUGAGUUACCUUAAACAAACACCAUAUUUAUACAGAGAACGAUAGGUUCCUCAUUUACAGGACUGUAAGUCAUUCUUAUUCCAUGGAACUUUCAGAAAGCUUGGCUAUACCUAGAAUUGCGUAUUUUAUAUGACUGUAAACUGUGUUUGAUGGGCUGGACUGCAGGGCAUCACUUGUCAUGCGACUCUUUUAGUUAAUGGUGAUUGUUGAUGUGUUUCCAGAGCUGCGUAUCACUGGCCAGUACCAUCCAGGAAGUCAACUCACAAAGCAUCACACACCAGUGUUCUUCUAAAGGAUCUACUAUAUUAUCAAAGUAUACAACUUGAAAUUUUUCUUCUCCAGGUAGCCAUGAAACCAAGAAUGAAAAGAAAGGCAGCACAGUUCAUCAACCCCCAAAUCCCCCUACCCCACACAAAAAAAGAACAAAAAUGGAACAGGCACAUCAACUCUCAAAUCCCUCCUCCCGCACAAUAAAAUGAACAAAAUGGAACAGGGACAUUGAUGCCCAAAUCCAUCCUCCUGGAGAAAAAAACAAGAAAGAUCAGGCAAAAAACACGCAGUUUAAAAAAAACUAUAAAACUUUGAAAAAUCUAUAGUCCAAGUCCACAUCCAAACUGCAGAAAACCUGGGCAACACUCUCCGGGCCUUUCCCUCUCUGUAGCUAUCAAGAGACAGUUAGCCGGUGCUUACCCUCCACACUUGCCUCGAAGUUUCAAUCUCUCCCUAAUCAGUGAACAAUGGAAGCUUAAUAGGUGAAAUGGAGUCGAACAACGGUUUUCUCAUUAUGAAGUUUCGCUCGAUGCCUCUGUCUCCCAGAAUCUUCUCGGAGACUGCAGAGCGCUGGAACACCCAAACAAUCUCCGAACAUAAAAAUCACAGACUCCAACAGUUCCAGGAUCACAUCCAAGAUGAAAAGGUGACUCCCUGACAACUGCUUCUCCUGUAGGUGACAGGAGGACCAGAAGGCAGGCAUAGGGAUGUAGAAAUUGAAUAUCAAGGCGAAUAGCCCAAAGAACAAUGAGGAACUAAGGAGGAAUUAUGCACCUUGGAGAGCCUUGAAAACCCUUUUUUGAUUCCCCUGUGUGCUGAUGGGAAGAGGUUCCUCAUCCACUAAAAGGUUCAGAAAGCAAGGCAGUGAGAGAGAUUACUGUGUCGACUCCAGACAGUAGCAGCAACUUCUUCUGCAGUCGAAGGAUGGGUGUGUGGAAGGAGUUACAAGGGGUGAAGAGCCAGCAGGCCCAGCUCUUCCCAGCUGAAUCCUUUUUAGGAUAAUCUUCUGAUCUAGGGUCCACAACCUGGAGCAGGAUGAGAUGUGCUCAAGCUUUUUCUUCCAAUGCUUCAUAGGGGGAGUUCUGUGAUCUACAGCUUCAAGGAAUGAGAUAGUUCAGUAACAUCCUUGCAGAUGGGUGCGUUCAGGACCUGGAGUUCCUUCUAUGAUGAUUUUUCAGACUGAAAUCCACAGGGAGCACAGCCUCCCAGAACUCUAUCACAGAGCUGUUAGACGACAUCAAGUGGGAGAGUCUGGACCAGCCACUGACCCUGGAGGAACUGACUGACUCCAUCCAUUCCUUAUGUACAAUGUCCUGUGUAUGUUACUCAAAAUGGGUUUUUUGGUUUGUUAAGAGUAGGAAUGCUUCUUUGAUAAGUGUUUCUCUCGCAGUUGUUUUGCUUUAUACUUGUUGAUAUGGUAAUUGUAUUCAUUUGUUAACCAAUGGGGAGUGUUAUUUUGUCUUGUGAGGCUGGGAACUUGGGGGAGGGGUUUUUCACGGGCUUUUGUGAGAGAGCGGGAGGAUGACGUUGAGGAAGGUGGACGUGCGCUGCACUGCUCGGAAGACCACCGGGCGUGGUCCUAGGUGCGAAGAUGUGGAGGUCGGAGGCAAGCGACGAGGGGUCGAAUGGUUUGAUGUUUGAGCUCCAACGAUGUGCACUAAACUGACUGAACUUCGAUAAGUUGGCGCCUUUUUGUUUUGUUUGUUUCCCUUGCAUAUAUAUUGUAUUGCCUAAUAUUCUUUUCAUUUUAGUAAACUCUUUAAAGUGUA